CUGUUCAAGCUAGAGCCCAGUUCCAGAACGUUGGAGGAUGCCAACUACCUACUCCCUUCUGGAUUAGUGGGUUCUACCAUCUGUCUUACCACAGCAAAGGGAACCUGAAAGCAAAGUCUUAUGUCUACGGCAAUGACUUAUCUGCAUGAACUUGUAUCUUCAAUACCACCAAGGAGAAGAAAUGCAGCUGGAGAAGAGGAAAGAGAAGGAAUCAUACACACUACUCACUCCCAUCAACCAGCCAAAGCGAGAUCCUUGACUACACAUUCCAGCAUCAGGAAGCUGCACAGA